rnacentral:rRNA from 1 species
AGUAUAAGCAAUUAUACCGUGAAACUGCGAAUGGCUCAUUAAAUCAGUUAUCGUUUAUUUGAUAGUACCUUACUACUUGGAUACCCGUGGUAAUUCUAGAGCUAAUACAUGCAAAAAACCCCAACUUCGGGAGGGGUGUAUUUAUUAGAUAAAAAACCAAUGCCCUCCGGGGCUCUCUGGUGAUUCAUGAUAACUUAACGGAUCGCAUGGCCUUGCGCCGGCGACGGUUCAUUCAAAUUUCUGCCCUAUCAACUUUCGAUGGUAAGGUAUUGGCUUACCAUGGUUUCAACGGGUAACGGAUUUUUAGGGAAAGAUCCCGGAGAAGGAGCCUGAGAAACGGCUACUACAUCCAAGGAAGGCAGCAGGCGCGCAAAUUACCCAAUCCCGACACGGGGAGGUAGUGACAAUAAAUACUGAUACAGGGCUCUUUUGGGUCUUGUAAUCGGAAUGAGUACAAUUUAAAUACCUUAACGAGGAACAAUUGGAGGGCAAGUCUGGUGCCAGCAGCCGCGGUAAUUCCAGCUCCAAUAGCGUAAUAUUAAAGUUGUUGCAGUUAAAAAGCUCGUAGUUGAACCUUGGGCCUGGCUGGCCGGUCCGCCUCACCGCGUGUACUGGUCCGGCCGGGCCUUUCCUUCUGGAGAACCGCAUGCCCUUCACUGGGUGUGCCGGGGAACCAGGACUUUUACUUUGAGAAAAUUAGAGUGUUCAAAGCAGGCCUUUGCUCGAAUACGUUAGCAUGGAAUAAUAGAAUAGGACGUGCGGUCCUAUUUUGUUGGUUUCUAGAACCGCCGUAAUGAUUAAUAGGGAUAGUCGGGGGCGUCAGUAUUCAAUUGUCAGAGGUGAAAUUCUUGGAUCUAUUGAAGACUAACUACUGCGAAAGCAUUCGCCAAGGAUGUUUUCAUUAAUCAGUGAACGAAAGUUAGGGGAUCGAAGACGAUCAGAUACCGUCGUAGUCUUAACCGUAAACUAUGCCGACUAGGGAUCGGGCGAUGUUUCUAUAUUGACUCGCUCGGCACCUUACGAGAAAUCA